rnacentral:tRNA from 1 species
GGGCGCGUAGCUCAGUGGAUAGAGCACCAGAUUCCGGUUCUGGGUGUCGGGGGUUCAAAUCCCUCCGUGCUCA